rnacentral:rRNA from 1 species
CGUAGGUGGCAAGCGUUGUCCGGAUUUAUGGGUUUAAAGGGUGCGUAGGCGGCUUUGUAAGUCAGUGGUGAAAUAUGGCAGCUCAACUGUCAGGGUGCCAUUGAUACUGCGGAGCUUGAGUACAGAUGAGGUAGGCGGAAUUGACGGUGUAGCGGUGAAAUGCUUAGAUAUCGUCAAGAACACCGAUAGCGAAGGCAGCUUACUGGGCUGUAACUGACGCUGAGGCACGAAAGUGUGGGGAUCAAACAGGAUUAGAUACCCUGGUAGUCCACACUGUAAACGUUGAUGACUCGCUGUUGGCGAUACACGGCCAGCGGCAGAGAGAAAUCGUUAAGUCAUCCACCUGGGGAGUACGCCGGCAACGGUG